rnacentral:rRNA from 1 species
UAGUGUUUUUUAUAAUUUUGCUCAGGAUGAACGCUGGCGGCGUGCCUAAUACAUGCAAGUCGAACGCACAGCGAAAGGUGCUUGCACCUUUCAAGUGAGUGGCGAACGGGUGAGUAACACGUGGACAACCUGCCUCAAGGCUGGGGAUAACAUUUGGAAACAGAUGCUAAUACCGAAUAAAACUCAGUGUCGCAUGACACAAAGUUAAAAGGCGCUUUGGCGUCACCUAGAGAUGGAUCCGCGGUGCAUUAGUUAGUUGGUGGGGUAAAGGCCUACCAAGACAAUGAUGCAUAGCCGAGUUGAGAGACUGAUCGGCCACAUUGGGACUGAGACACGGCCCAAACUCCUACGGGAGGCUGCAGUAGGGAAUCUUCCACAAUGGGCGAAAGCCUGAUGGAGCAACGCCGCGUGUGUGAUGAAGGCUUUCGGGUCGUAAAGCACUGUUGUAUGGGAAGAACAGCUAGAAUAGGGAAUGAUUUUAGUUUGACGGUACCAUACCAGAAAGGGACGGCUAAAUACGUGCCAGCAGCCGCGGUAAUACGUAUGUCCCGAGCGUUAUCCGGAUUUAUUGGGCGUAAAGCGAGCGCAGACGGUUGAUUAAGUCUGAUGUGAAAGCCCGGAGCUCAACUCCGGAAUGGCAUUGGAAACUGGUUAACUUGAGUGCAGUAGAGGUAAGUGGAACUCCAUGUGUAGCGGUGGAAUGCGUAGAUAUAUGGAAGAACACCAGUGGCGAAGGCGGCUUACUGGACUGUAACUGACGUUGAGGCUCGAAAGUGUGGGUAGCAAACAGGAUUAGAUACCCUGGUAGUCCACACCGUAAACGAUGAACACUAGGUGUUAGGAGGUUUCCGCCUCUUAGUGCCGAAGCUAACGCAUUAAGUG